rnacentral:lncRNA from 1 species
CACCGCCUCCGCCUCCUCCCAUUCCGACACCUACGCCUCCUGCAUGACCAGACCAAUACCCUAUCAUGUUAUGUCCAUGUCUACCACCGUGUCUGUAGUGUGUGUGUCUGUGACCCUUACCAUGUCCAUAUCCAUGUCCACUUCCGUGACCGUGACCGUGUCCACUUCCUGCACCAUGACCAGAACCUCCUCCGCUUCCACCACCUCCGCCUCCACCAGAACCACCACCAACUCCUCCACCAUGUCCAUGUCCAUGUCCAUGUCCACUUCCGGAUCCAUGACCGGACCCUCCACCCUUUCCACUACCUCCACCACCGCCGCCGCCGCCACCACCACCACCUCCUCCUUUUACACCACCCCCAUGACCGUAUCCACUUCCUGAACCAUGACCAUAGCCUCCACCCUUUCCACUAC